GUAGGGACAGUAUUAGUAGGACCAACACCUGUAAAUAUAAUUGGAAGAAAUAUUUUGACACAAUUGGGUUGUACUCUAGUGUUCCCAAUUAGUUCAAUUGAAACUGUCCCAGU
rfam:Chimpanzee immunodeficieny virus (CIV) (SIV(cpz)) genome